rnacentral:ncRNA from 1 species
UUAGAACUUUGAUGGGACCUUUCCCUAGUACGAGAAAACAAAGAAGGAUGCACCUCUGGUGUACCAGUUAUCGUGUCCACGGUAGACACCGGGUAGCCAAAUGCAGAGCAGAUAACUACUGAAAGCAUAUAAGUAGGAAGCCCACCCCAAGAUGAAUGCUCUUAUUCUUACUUCCUUGAGAGCCCCUAGUCACGAACACGACUGGGACAACAAUGGGAUCUCCUUCCUUACAGGGGAUGGAGCGACAAGAUUUAAAAUCCAAGAUAAGGUCAUGAUGAGACGAUCUAUUUAUCAUUACGCUCGGUGUCAGGUGGAAGUCUGGUGAUGUGUGCAAUUGAGGCAUCCUAAUAGACCGA